rnacentral:rRNA from 1 species
CAACUCUCAACAACGGAUAUCUUGGCUCCCGUAUCGAUGAAGAACGCAGCGAAAUGCGAUACGUAGUGUGAAUUGCAGAAUUCCGUGAACCAUCGAAUCUUUGAACGCAAAUUGCGCCCGCGGCUCCGGCCAAGGGCAUGUCUGCCUCAGCGUCGGCUUCACCCCCUCGC